rnacentral:rRNA from 1 species
GAUCUUGGUCAGGAUGAACGCUAGCUACAGGCUUAACACAUGCAAGUCGCGGGGCAGCAUAUAGAUAGCUUGCUAUUAUGAUGGCGACCGGCGCACGGGUGAGUAACGCGUACCCAACCUUCCCCAUAGUAGGGUAUAGCCCGGCGAAAGUCGGAUUAAUCCCCUAUGUUGUUUGAAGCGGACAUCUAAUUCAAACCAAAGAUUCAUCGCUAUGGGAUGGGGAUGCGUCUGAUUAGGUUGCAGGCGGGGUAACGGCCCACCUGGCCGACGAUCAGUAGGGGUUCUGAGAGGAAGGUCCCCCAUACUGGUACUGAGACACGGACCAGACUCCUACGGGAGGCAGCAGUGAGGAAUAUUGGUCAAUGGGCGCGAGCCUGAACCAGCCAAGUAGCGUGCAAGGAUGACGGCCCUACGGGUUGUAAACUGCUUUUAUGCGGGGAUAAAGUGCGGCACGUGUGCCGUUUUGCAGGUACCGCAUGAAUAAGGACCGGCUAAUUCCGUGCCAGCAGCUGC